rnacentral:rRNA from 1 species
UUGACCCGUCUUGAAGCACGGACCAAGGAGUCUAACAUGUGCGCGAGUCAUUGGGUACCACGAAACCCAAAGGCGUAUUGAACGAAAAGGCCGGGCUAGUACCGGCUGAGGGAAGAUGGAGGCGCGCUCGCGUGCCUCCCGCAUUCCCGGGGCGUCUCGUCCUACUUCCGCUCGUCGGUCGAAGGUGAGGCGCACCAAGAGCGCACACGUUGGGACCCGAAAGAUGGUGAACUAUGCCUGGCCAGGACGAAGUCAGGGGAAACCCUGAUGGAGGUCCGUAGCGAUUCUGACGUGCAAAUCGAUCGUCGGAGCUGGGUAUAGGGGCGAAAGACUAAUCGAACCAUCUAGUAGCUGGUUCCCUCCGAAGUUUCCCUCAGGAUAGCUGGCGCUCGGAGGACCGAAUCCCAUGCGGUAAAGCGAAUGAUUGGAGGCCUUGGGGUCGAAACGACCUCAACCUACCCUCAAACUUUAAAUGUGUGGGACCCGCGGCUUGUUUGAACGCUGAAGCCGCGGCUCUCGGAUCGGAGUGCCCAGUGGGCCACUUUUGGUAAGCAGAACUGGCGCUGUGGGAUGAACCAAACGCCGGGUUAAGGCGCCCGAAUCGACGCUCAUGUGAAACCAUGAAAGGUGUUGGUUGCUUAAGA